rnacentral:tRNA from 1 species
AGGGACAUAGCACAAUAGGUAAUGCACUUGUUUUGGGAACAAGAUUAUGCAGGUUCAAAUCCUGCUGUCCCUA